CCCUUAGAUGUUCUGGGCCGCACGCGCGCUACACUGACGAAUGCAACGAGCUUAUAACCUUGGCCGAAAGGUCUGGGUAAUCUCCAAAUUUCGUCGUGAUGGGGAUAGAUUAUUGCAAUUAUUAAUCUUCAACGAGGAAUGCCUAGUAAGCGCAAGUCAUCAGCUUGCGUUGAUUACGUCCCUGCCCUUUGUACACACCGCCCGUCGCUCCUACCGAUUGAAUGGGCCGGUGAAGCGUUCGGACCGUGGCCUUUGGACGGUUCGCCGUCUGUUGGCUGCGGGAAGUUCGUUAAACCUUAUCAUUUAGAGGAAGGAGAAGUCGUAACA
rnacentral:rRNA from 1 species